rnacentral:rRNA from 1 species
CACGUAGGGACCAAGCGUUGUCCGGAUUCAUUGGGCGUAAAGAGCUCGUAGGCGGUUCGAUAAGUCAGGUGUGAAACCUCCAGGCUCAACCUGGAGACGCCACCCGAUACUGUCGUGACUAGAGUCCAGUAGGGGAGCGUGGAAUUCCUGGUGUAGCGGUGAAAUGCGCAGAUAUCAGGAGGAACACCAGCGGCGAAGGCGGCGCUCUGGGCUGGAACUGACGCUGAGGAGCGAAAGCGUGGGGAGCGAACAGG